rnacentral:rRNA from 1 species
UACGUAGGGCGCAAGCGUUGUCCGGAAUUAUUGGGCGUAAAGAGCUCGUAGGUGGCUUGUCACGUCGGGUGUGAAAGCUUGGGCUUAACUCCAGGUCUGCAUUCGAUACGGGCUGGCUAGAGGUAGGUAGGGGAGAACGGAAUUCCGUGGUGUAGCGGUGAAAUGCGCAGAUAUCAGGAGGAACACCGGUGGCGAAGGCGAGUCUCUAGACAUUCCUGACGCUGAGGCACGAAAGCCAGGGAGCAAACGGG